ensembl:lncRNA
UACAUACAUUACAUAUAUUACAUACAUUACAUAUAUUACAUAUAUAUAUAUAUAUAUGUAAGCAUAUUUUAAGUUAAAACAAAAUGAUAUAAGUCUCGAAAAUAAGCACAGGUUAUAUGUUAAACAACUUAUAGUUUUUUUUGUAAGCAUAUAAAAAAAAAAAAAAAAAAAAAAAAAAAAAAAAAAAAAANNNNNNNNNNNNNNNNNNNNNNNNNNNNNNNNNNNNNNNNNNNNNNNNNNNNNNNNNNNNNNNNNNNNNNNNNNNNNNNNNNNNNNNNNNNNNNNNNNNNAAAAAAAAAAAAAAAAAAAAAAAAAAAAAAAAAAAAAAAAAAAUGAGUAAUGUUUUUGACAGAUUGAAAAAACAAAGGUUGAAGGAAUACAAAGCAACGGAUUUUUAUAAGGUAGUAAAUAAAAAUAAUGACAUUUAUACAGUCAUAGAUGAAGAAGGAUAUAUUGAGAAUAAAAAAUCGCUUAAAAGUUUUAUAGUAGGGGGAGAAGAUAAAGAUUUCGAUUCUAGCGAUGACAUCGUACUUGAGGAAAAUAUUAAUUUUAACUUUUUAAAAAAAAAAAAUGUAGAAAAAACAAUCAAAGUUAAUCAAAAAAACAAAAUCGAUAGUUUUAUAACGGAAAAAAAAAUACAAAAAAUAACUUCAACAAAUAAAUUAAGUAAUAAAGAAAUAACAAAAACAAAAACCAUUGAAGAUUUGAUGGAUGAAAAUUCUUAUUCCAGUAAUAGUGACAAUAGUGACAAUAGUGACAAUAGUGAGAAAAGUGAGAAAAGUGAGAAUAAUAAAAAAAUUAUUUUAAAAAAAAGAAAAAAAAAUAAAGAUUCCCCUGAAAAAAGAUAUUGUAGCAUAGGGGGUAUGCAAGAUAGUAGUACACAUCUUAAAAAAAAAGUUAAUAGUAGUAUGUAUGGAUAUAAUGUAAAAGGUACAGAAUGUAACUAUAAUAAAGAUGAUAUAUUUAGUAGUAAUAUUAGUAACAAGCUAAGUAGUAGGCAGAAUAAUAUAUUCACUAGUGAAAAAAGUAACACAUUCACUAGUGAUAAGAGUAACGUGUUCAAUAAAAAUGGUAACAUACACGAAAUAACAGAAAUAAAAAAAAAUUUUUUUUUUAGUAAUACAAAUUUACAGAAAAGAAAAGAUAACGAAAUGGAGACUGAACAAAAUGUUAAUAUAAAUUCGAACCUUAUGGAUGAUGGAAAUUGUAUUGACAAUAUGGAAGGAGUUGAAAAUCAAAAAAGACGUAAAAUAAUAGAUGAAAUAUUUGAUGAAAAUAGUAAUAAUAACCCAACUGGUAUGGAUACUAAUUCUUAUAUAGAUAAUAUACAAAAUGUUGUUACAAAAAAUAAUUUAACUUCAAUAAAUUUAAGUACUGGUGUGGUUGAUAUAGAACGGGAUUUAAUAGUACCAGAUUAUUCAAUACAAAAUAAUUUUGACGUAGUGAAAAAUGACAAUAUACUUGAUGAAGGAAAUAAAACAGGAGAAAAUGGUCAUAUUAAUAUAAAUCCUAAUUUUUUAAUAAAUCGAAAUGAUGAUAUAAUAAUAAAUGAAAGUACAGGUUUAACAAAUGUUUACAUAUACGAUAUAUGUCAACAUAGAAAUAGUGUUAUACUAUUUGGUAGGACGUAUAGUAAACUGAAAAAGUAUAGAAGUAUAAGUAUAUUUAUUGAAGAGUUGGAAAGAUGUUAUUUUUUUUUAUUAAAUAAAAAUAAAGAAUAUAAAGAAGGUGAUACAAUUAUAAAAUAUGGAGAUGAAAAAUAUAAAAUGUAUAUACUAUCAGAUUUUAUUGAAGAAUUUAAACAUAUUAGAGAAAAUUAUAAUAUAAAAAUAGCUAAGUAUAAAAUAGUAAAAAGAAAAAAUUUGAAUUUAUAUCAUUCGGGUGAAGAAUUUUAUGUAAAAGUUUUAUAUUCUUAUAAUUAUGAUCCAAUAAAUGAGAAAUAUUUACAUGGUAAAACAUAUAAUUCUUUUUAUUGUUGUAACGAUGAUAUUAUUGAAAAUUUUAUUAUAAAAAAAAAAUUAAAAUUACCUUGCUGGGUCAGAAUAAAAGAUUUAAAAAAAAAUACAUUAAAUAAUUUAACAUACUGUUUUUUUGAUUAUACGACUAGUACAAAAAAAAAUAUAAUAUAUCCUAUUGAUAAGUUGAUACAUGAUAAAAAACGUAAUAGUAGUACUGCUCAGUUAGAUUUGGUAGAACCGUUAGAAAAUAAUAAAUCAACAUUGUCAACUGAUGGAUCAGCUAUAAAUAAAAAAAAUAGCUACCAAACAAGUACAACCACAACAAAUGAUACAACCACAACAAAUGAUACAACCACAACAAAUGAUACAACCACAACAAAUGGUGUAAAUGUAAAAAAAAUAGAAAUUGAAAACCCGCCACUUAUAGAUAUAGAUUUACACAAAAUGUAUAUAAAAGUUGUCUCAGUUUUAAACGAUAAAAAUAUUCAUGAAAUUUUUAGUAUUUAUUGUUUAGUUAAUUUUGAAGGACUUAAAUAUAUACUAUUUAAUGGAAUAUGUAAUCAAUCACAAGUUCAAAUAAAAAAUAUAAACAAUAAUUAUAGUAAAAACAUUAGUGAUAAAAACAAUUAUGUUCAUAAAAAUUUGUAUAAAAUAUAUACAAGUGAAAAAUUAUUAUUGGAAGAAUUUUUAAAUAAAUUAAAAACUGUAGAUAUUGACAUAUUUAUUGGUUAUAAUAUUUUAAGUUUCGAUUUAGAAUUUUUAAUACAUAGAUGUAAUGUUUAUAACUUGAAUUGUGACUUUUUAAGUAGAAAAAAAAAAUAAGAAAAAAUGAAAAAAUGAAAGUAAAUAAAUUUAACGAAACAGGUAGUACA